CACGGUGACAGGGCCAACCAGAGCCAGAGCGCUCAAGGCACGGCCCAGAAAUCUGCAGCCCCAGGGAGCGGCGAGCAAACCCUGCAGAGGAAGGAGGAGCGGCGCUGGGUUCUCCUAGGGCUGUGGAAAUGGCAGUGGAUGGAAGUUGAUGUGGAUGGAAGCAGCUCCCCAGCAGGGCAGCCCAGCAUGCGUUUGUAAAGCAAAAAAAAAAAAAAAAAAAGGACAGAACUACCACACUGCUGUGCUAAUUCAUGAGAAUGCCAUGGAAAGUGGUGGUGAGAAGUAAAAAGGGAAAAGGAAAAAUGACCAGGUCAGCUGCGCUGCCAAGGAUGAGCGAGGAACUGAAAGGCUGAACAGAAAGCGUGGUGUUUGAAGAGAUUUGGGGCCUGAUUUAUCGCCUUUCUUUGCUCUGUGGUUCCCGUGUUAUUGUAUUGCACACGAUGCACAUGUGAGCAGACGUGGCCCCUGCCUCUGUGCUCCAGCAGUGCAC